CUGACUUCUCUAAUAAUUAUGUUUAUAUUAUUGAAUUUAUUUGUCUGGAUGUGGCAAUUAUAUGGGGCAAAAUAGCCCUGCAGAACCCUAAUAAAGAUCAUUUGAAAAUAAAUUAUUAAAUUUCUGUGAAAAUCAAUCACUCGAAAAAUUAAUAAAGGGUGAGAGAAUCAUCUUCUUUUAAUUAUGAACACUUUUAAGAAGAUUAGUUUGAUCUUAAUCUUCCCGUUGCAGAUUUUCUGCGGCAAUAUCAAAUUCCUUGUUAAAUAAAACAUUUUCAGAGUAAAAACAUCGUGUUAACCUUCUUGAUAAUCGAUUGUUAUAGACCGAAAAAGAUAUUUCCCUCUACGAAGUACACCCUCUGUAAAAACUUCAAUAGCAACAUUUUUCUUUUUCAUGUAUUUCUAAUUGUAUCUUGUCUAAUUCGAUAAACUUUUAAUUUUACUUCAAAUAUAGCAUGUUUUCUGACGAAUUUAAAAUGUUAGCUCUGCUUUUCAUGCGAAAACAGCUGUUUCUACAUUCUCAUCUAGUCUCGAUUUCCCUGAAGGUGGUGCAACGAUUUUGCAGAGAAUCCAAUUUUAACGUAGGUCUUUUGAAUUUCCAUUCAGCAUCUGCUUGCAAGCGCGUAACAAGAAGCUGUUUCCACACUCCCAGCUGGACGGACGUUUUUGAUUGCCCUGAAGGUGGCAGGGAAGUGCGGAAGGCAAUCAGCUGUAAUCACGAACACUCAAACACCUCUGGAUCUGGAUGAAUCCUAGACGCUACAACUCGACACUUUCUUUCAAAUUUUAAAGACUCUGCAAUUUUUCAUGUUGAGCCAACUUCGUUCCACCAGUGAAAAGGCCAAGAGGGGAACAUAGAUGGCCCUGAAGAAGGAGAGAAUCUGUGCUUUCAAGGACCAAACUAAAUGAUUCAUAAAUCUCGCAAGAAACUGGGUUUUCUUUCUAGGGAGGUGUCGUGACUCUUGACGGCCUGAAUCUUCCCCAACUGGCGCCUGCAGACCCAAGUCUUCGAAACAAGAACCACCGUUUUAUGUAUAAAAUUGGCUUUUCCUUUUUUUGCCUUUAACGUCGAGCGAGCACUGUUUAAUUUAACGUAGUUUUGGCAUCUUGCACGCCCAAAAAUGUAUAUUUUCCAAUCACUGACUGGCUCGAGACACCCCAAAAAUUGGCGUCACAUCCGCCCCCAAGCCUUAGAGCUUAGCAUCGCAUCAUUAUUCUGCCUACUAGUUGCCCCUUGUUGCCUGUCCAGUCACAGUAGAAAUUGACUUUUAUUUCCAAAGUCUCGUCUACGUUAUCUUAAACUUCAGUAACUUAAUUAAUGGCCAAUUUCGCGAUGGAAAGUCUUUUUGUCUCUGUUAGAGUCACUUUGAGCAAUAAACCAAAACCAAAACAAUUU